rnacentral:rRNA from 1 species
AUUGAACGCUGGCGGCAGGCCUAACACAUGCAAGUCGAACGGUAACAGGGAUCAGCUUGCUGAUUCGCUGACGAGUGUCGGACGGGUGAGUAAUGUCUGGGAAACUGCCUGAUGGAGGGGGAUAACUACUGGAAACGGUAGCUAAAACCGCAUAACGUCGCAAGACCAAAGAGGGGGACCUUCGGGCCUCUUGCCAUCGGAUGUGCCCAGAUGGGAUUAGCUAGUAGGUGGGGUAACGGCUCACCUAGGCGACGAUCCCUAGCUGGUCUGAGAGGAUGACCAGCCACACUGGAACUGAGACACGGUCCAGACUCCUACGGGAGGCAGCAGUGGGGAAUAUUGCACAAUGGGCGAAAGCCUGAUGCAGCCAUGCCGCGUGUAUGAAGAAGGCCUUCGGGUUGUAAAGUACUUUCAGCGGGGAGGAAGGGAGUAAAGUUAAUACCUUUGCUCAUUGACGUUACCCGCAGAAGAAGCACCGGCUAACUCCGUG